AACGCACCUUGCGCUCCUUGGUAUUCCGAGGAGCAUGCCUGUUUGAGUGUCAUUAAAUUCUCAACCUCAUAACGUUUUCGAACGGUCCUUGAGGCUUGGACUUUGGAGCGUGUCGGCCUCUUUUUCUAAAGAAGUCGACUCCUCUUUAAAUGCAUUAGCUGGAACCUCUUGUGGACCAGACUACGGUGUGAUAAUUAUCUACGCUGUGGCCUUGUGAAGCACUUUGUUACGAGGUUCUGCUUCUAACCGUCCCUUACACGGACAAUGAUCUUAAUUGAUUGACAUUUUGACCUCAAAUCAGGUAGGACUACCCGCUGAACUUAA
rnacentral:misc_RNA from 1 species